UGGCGGCGAGUGGCGAACGGGUGAGUAAUGUUCGGAACGUGCCCAGUAGCGGGGGAUAACUACGCGAAAGGUAGCUAAUACCGCAUACGCCCUACGGGGGAAAGCGGGGGACCUUCGGGCCUCGCACUAUUGGAGCGGCCGAUAUCGGAUUAGCUAGUUGGGGGGUAAAGGCCUACCAAGGCUGCGAUCCGUAGCUGGUUUGAGAGGACGACCAGCCACACUGGGACUGAGACACGGCCCAACUCCUACGGGAGGCAGCAGUGGGGAAUUUUGGACAAUGGGGGCAACCCUGAUCCAGCCAUCCCGCGUGUGCGAUGAAGGCCUUCGGGUUGUAAAGCACUUUUGGCAGGAAAGAAACGGCUCUGGUUAAUACCUGGGGCAACUGACGGUACCUGCAAAUAAGCACCGGCUAACUACGUGCCAGCAGCCGCGGUAAUACGUAGGGUGCAAGCGUUAAUCGGAAUUACUGGGCGUAAAGCGUGCGCAGGCGGUUCGGAAAGAAAGAUGUGAAAUCCCAGGGCUUAACCUUGGAACUGCAUUUUUAACUACCGGGCUAGAGUGUGUCAGAGGGAGGUGGAAUUCCGCGUGUAGCAGUGAAAUGCGUAGAGAUGCGGAGGAACACCGAUGGCGAAGGCAGCCUCCUGGGAUAACACUGACGCUCAUGCACGAAAGCGUGGGGAGCAAACAGGAUUAGAUACCCUGGUAGUCCACGCCCUAAACGAUGUCAACUAGCUGUUGGGGGCUUCGGCCCUUGGUAGCGCAGCUAACGCGUGAAGUUGACCGCCUGGGGAGUACGGUCGCAGAUUAAACUCAAGGAUUGACGGGACCGCACAGCGUUGAUGAUGUGAAUUAUUCCGAUGCAACGCGAA
rnacentral:rRNA from 1 species